rnacentral:rRNA from 1 species
GACGAACGCUGGCGGCGUGCUUAACACAUGCAAGUCGAACGCUGAAGCACCAGCUUGCUGGUGUGGAUGAGUGGCGAACGGGUGAGUAAUACGUGAGUAACCUGCCCUUGACUCUGGGAUAAGCCCGGGAAACUGGGUCUAAUACUGGAUGCUACAUGUCACUGCAUGGUGGUGUGUGGAAAGGGUUUACUGGUCUUGGAUGGGCUCACGGCCUAUCAGCUGGUUGGUGAGGUAAUGGGUCACCAAGGCGACGACGGGUAGCCGGCCUGAGAGGGUGACCGGCCCCACUGGGACUGAGACACGGCCCAGACUCCUACGGGGGGCAGCAGUGGGGAAUAUUGCACAAUGGGCGAAAGCCUGAUGCAGCGACGCCGCGUGGGGGAUGACGGCCUUCGGGUUGUAAACCUCUUUCAGCAGGGAAGAAGCCACAAGUGACGGUACCUGCAGAAGAAGCGCCGGCUAACUACGUG